UACGGGGGGAGCAAGCGUUGUUCGGAUUUACUGGGCGUAAAGGGCGCGUAGGCGGCGCAACAAGUCACUUGUGAAAUCUCCGGGCUUAACUCGGAGCGGCCAAGUGAUACUGUCGUGCUAGAGUGCGGAAGGGGCUACUGGAAUUCUCGGUGUAGCGGUGAAAUGCGUAGAUAUCUGGAGGAACACCGGUGGCGAAGGCGGCAUCCUGGACCAACACUGACGCUGAGGAGCGAAAGCCAGGGGAGCAAACGGG
rnacentral:rRNA from 1 species